AUUCUACUCUGCCGCACUAGUGAGCGCCACUACAGGUUUGCUUCUUCAUUGCCAUUAUAUCUUCCACGUUGACCGUCCUGUGAGACGGGAGGAUCCAGGCUGCACACCGUGACCACCGACCCACACCAGCUGGGCUCCCAAAGCAACCACAGAUGUUAUGCUCUUAGAAUAACAUUACCAGCAGGAGCAUUUGGUGCUGCCUCCUAACUCUGGACACACAUUCCUAGGAGAGUAAUACUACCAACCUCUACAUCAGCCUCAGCAUUACCGGAUAUCUACCCAGACUGGAAGGAGCUGCACUCACCCUUGUAGGUAUGAAAUGUUUAUUCUACUGCUUGUUGUGGAUCUAAGAACCACCCUAAACUUCCCCUCUUACUGUACUGAACAUGACAUCUAGUCAUUAUCAUAUGGUAUGAGAUGUUGAUUCUACUGCCUGAUGUGGAUUUUUGAAGAGCCUUAAACAACUUAUUCGCCUAAGAGCGUUCCCACAAUAUCCUUAAUUUUAGAAGUGUUGUCACUCAUCUUUACUUGCUACUGCUGUGCAGUUUUCACUGUAUGAAAAGCCCUCCCACUGUACUGCCCAGUCUCUCUACAGUGAUUAUGAUGAUCCUGUCCAUAACAAGGCUGAUAAUGGAGGAACAUGUGACAUACAUAUAACUCUUCAUACUCCGUAGGCAUAUACAGGUGCAGUGGAGUCACAUACUACUCCAUACUUGGCCAAAUUAUGGAUAUGAUUGCCAUAGUCACUAAAGAUAAGGACGAGGUAGAAUGGGGCAGGACUUGUUGAAUAGUAAAAACACAGCACAGCAGGAGCAAGUGACUGAGUGAUGAUACUUUACAAUUAUAGCACUUAUACAUACAUCCAAUCGGCAAAGAGACCUGCAUCUGGCCAUAAUCGCAUGAUUCUGACUGACUGGGGAGAGCUCUGCAUUUCUGAAGUUGCUGUUUUAUGUAGUCGAAAACCAUCAAGUAUGAAGAACUCUUGUAACCCGGAGCCCUGGCUGAGCUGGAUUAUGUUUUUACAAACAUACAAAAAGAAAACGGUCAAUUACAUUUUUUAAUGACAUUGAAUCUUUCUCCUGAUGAAAUGUUUUAGA